UUGCUGAGUUUUUGCAUUACUGUGGGAAAUUUGUGUGCAAGGCUUGGGCCAAAAUUAUAUAUGAUCCUUCUUUUAUCAAGGCACACCUCCUUCAAUCAAAGGAUGGCUUUUUCAUCCAAACAUUUGGUAAGCCAUAUCAUUCAUGUUUCCUUGAGUUUAAUGAGGGAGAAUUCAAACAACACACCUAAAUUGUCAUGGACAUAUGGUCUCUAGUUGUGGUGGCUUAUCACUGUUUUCAGGCUCAUAUCUUGAGAGAUUUCUUUUUGUUGGGGAUCAUGUGACACAAGAGUAUAAGAACCUACAUUUUCCUAUUGCGAAAGGUCAUCUUUUGCUCUCUUGUCAUAUUGGUUACAUUUCUCGCACUGAGGAGUACAAGGUGGUUUGCCCUUGUGAAAUAUCAGGUGGAGAAUAUAGAUGGUUUGUAUUGUCUGUGGAUAAUAAUAACUUGUCAUGGAGAAGAAUGGAGACUUCACUAAAAGGAAUCAGUUUUAUUGUGAUGAUAGAGCUUUAGUGUCUGUUGGAGGCGCUAUUUAUUACUCUCAAAUGAACAGUCAUAUUUUUGCUGUUGACCUUUGUGAUGAUACUUCUCUCUCAAUUCAAGUUCCAAAUGAAUUUGUUGGGAGGUGUUAUAGUCUUCUUGAGCUGGGGAAUAGUUUAUCUUUCAUUGUGAGACAUUCGUCAGAGGUUCAUGUAUGCAUUUUAAAGGACUUACAUUGCCAUGAAUGGGCUAAACUUUACAAGGUUAGAGAAGCAAUAGAUGGACCGAAUUUUUUAUGUGAGAGUUUCAUACCUGUUGGUUGGCUGGAUGAUGGCCAAAUCUUGGUCUUCAUUCACUUUGAAAAGUUGGUUGUGACUUACAAUGUGAAAACAGGAGAGGCAAGAUCCUUUGAUGUUUUCAGCACUGAUUUCAUACGGAAACACACCAACAGCCUUGUUUCAUGAAAGCAUUUAGAAGGCAAGGACAAGAGAGGAGUCUCAUCAACAUAAAAUGUUGGCAGAAGCGAAGCUGCAACAUUUGGAGUUUGAAUUCUAUUUCUUUGCAUGACGCCAGAGUUUAUAAAAGAUUAUGUAUACCAACUUGGGGUUAACUUGCUUUGAACCAUUAUCGGUGUCCAAGUUGUGCGUACAAUUUUCUUACAGUGUGUGCUUUUUUUGUUUUUGUAUUUUUGCAACAGUUUGUUAUAAAUAAGGCUUGGAAGUUGAUUACGAAAAUAGUAAGGGAUGAAUGAAGUUUGGGCAGGGUAUUGGCCCAAACAGUUGAAGACAAGUGGUUGGUAACUUUAAAGUGUCUUUGGUUUUGUGUGGUGGUUUACUUUUGUUUCUGUUGUGUGUUACCUAGUUCAUAAAACAAUUCUGUAGAUUUAUGAAGUUACCUUUUGCCCUGUGUAUGCAAUAUAGUGAUGAACAUGGCGUUUGUGGGU